rnacentral:tRNA from 1 species
UCCCGCGUGGUCUAGCGGCUAUGAUUCCUGGCUCUCACCCAACAGGCCCGGGUUCGACUCCCGGCGCGGGAG